GAUGAACGCUGGCGGCGUGCCUAAUACAUGCAAGUCGAGCGAACAGACGAGGAGCUUGCUCCUCUGACGUUAGCGGCGGACGGGUGAGUAACACGUGGAUAACCUACCUAUAAGACUGGGAUAACUUCGGGAAACCGGAGCUAAUACCGGAUAAUAUAUUGAACCGCAUGGUUCAAUAGUGAAAGACGGUUUUGCUGUCACUUAUAGAUGGAUCCGCGCCGCAUUAGCUAGUUGGUAAGGUAACGGCUUACCAAGGCAACGAUGCGUAGCCGACCUGAGAGGGUGAUCGGCCACACUGGAACUGAGACACGGUCCAGACGCCUACGGGAGGCAGCAGUAGGGAAUCUCCCGCAAUGGGCGAAAGCCUGACGGAGCAACGCCGCGUGAGUGAUGAAGGUCUUCGGAUCGUAAAACUCUGUUAUUAGGGAAGAACAAAUGUGUAAGUAACUAUGCACGUCUUGACGGUACCUAAUCAGAAAGCCACGGCUAACUACGUG
rnacentral:rRNA from 1 species